rnacentral:rRNA from 1 species
AUGGCAGCAAGUUCCAGUUCGCAAGGACGGCGGGGGAAGGAGACUGCGGAUGAGUUGUUGGCUCGGCCGAACUUACAGGAGGAGGAGGAUGAUGACUUCGUUUGGGAAGAAGAAUUGCCGGACUUGGGGGAGCCGGCGAAGUGGCUAGCUAUAGCCCGGGUGCAUACACCGAAAUCUUUUUGCCCUAAUGCUCUGUACGGGGACAUGCGAGCGGCGUGGAAUCCCACGAGGACUGUGGUAUGGAGGAAGAUCAAUGAUAAUCUGUUCACAACCCAGUUUGGUUGUCUUGGUGAUUGGAACAAAGCAAUGCUGGAGGGACCCUGGUUGUUCAGAGAUCAUGCGGUAAUCUUGAAGGAGUAUGAUGGAUUCAAGAAGCCCGAGAGUGUCAUCCUAGACAAGUUGUCGGUCUGGGCUCAGAUACAUCUGCUGCCAGAUAAUUUUCUGAUAUAA